UAUAUGGGGUGCAAACGUUGCUCGGAAUUAUUGGGCGUAAAGCGCGCGUAGGCGGUUACUUAAGUCGGAUGUGAAAGCCCUCGGCUUAACUGAGGAAGUGCAUCCGAAACUGAGUAGCUAGAGUACGAAAGAGGGUCGCGGAAUUCCCGGUGUAGAGGUGAAAUUCGUAGAUAUCGGGAGGAACACCGGUGGCGAAGGCGGCGACCUGGGUCGAGACUGACGCUGAUGCGCGAAAGCGUGGGGAGCAAACAGG
rnacentral:rRNA from 1 species